AUUGAACGCUGGCGGCAGGCCUAACACAUGCAAGUCGAGCGGAUGAAGGGAGCUUGCUCCUGGAUUCAGCGGCGGACGGGUGAGUAAUGCCUAGGAAUCUGCCUGGUAGUGGGGGAUAACGUCCGGAAACGGGCGCUAAUACCGCAUACGUCCUGAGGAGAAAGUGGGGGAUCUUCGGACCUCACGCUAUCAGAUGAGCCUAGGUCGGAUUAGCUAGUUGGUGGGGUAAAGGCCUACCAAGGCGACGAUCCGUAACUAGUCUGAGAGGAUGAUCAGUCACACUGGAACUGAGACACGGUCCAGACUCCUACGGGAGGCAGCAGUGGGGAAUAUUGGACAAUGGGCGAAAGCCUGAUCCAGCCAUGCCGCGUGUGUGAAGAAGGUCUUCGGAUUGUAAAGCACUUUAAGUUGGGAGGAAGGGCAGUAAGUUAAUACCUUGCUGUUUUGACGUUACCAACAGAAUAAGCACCGGCUAACUUCGUG
rnacentral:rRNA from 1 species